rnacentral:rRNA from 1 species
UACGGGGGGGGCAAGCGUUGUUCGGAAUUACUGGGCGUAAAGGGCGCGUAGGCGGCCUGCUAAGUCGGAUGUGAAAUCCCUCGGCUCAACCGAGGAACUGCAUCCGAUACUGGCGGGCUUGAAUCCGGGAGAGGGAUGUGGAAUUCCAGGUGUAGCGGUGAAAUGCGUAGAUAUCUGGAGGAACACCGGUGGCGAAGGCGGGGUCUCUGGGGCAAUAACUGGACGCUGAGGAGCGAAAGCGUGGGGAGCGAACAGG